GGCGGUGGAGGGGUGGAAGCUUGAUGACGUGUGCUGCGACACGUGUCAACCACUUGGUCCAGUCCCCGCCUUCCGUGGUUUCAAAUAUUUGCCACGUUGUUUCCUCUCAGUUUGAAACUGCCUUUCACUUUCUAUUUUCUCUCUCUCUCUCUCUCGAACGGAAAAUGCAAACGCCGAAACGCGGAUGACGGGAUAUUGUUUAUGCUUUAAAAUUCUACGUCUUUCCAAAAUCCCGCUUUUACUUCGUGAGAUUUUUUCUACUAGCAAUGCAAGCUACGAUUAUGCGCACCGUCCUCAUGAGCGGCCGGUGGCGAAACGGCGAGAGAAACCUGUCGCUGUUGCAGACGUUAGACGAACAGGAAAAUGGCCGACUCGGAAACAUGCAGACGACGGCCAUGCACGAUGGAUCUCAGAGAGAAACGUGAGAAUUUUUCUCUAAUCAAGCUCCUUGCGAAGUUCUUCGAGAUUAGAGGGGGCGCGUUAAACGGUAUGGUGGAUAAAGCUGAAAUUUCUGUCACCGCGUCUAGAAAAAGGUUGAAUCGCUGCCGCAGCCGCAGUUCGGUGUUAACUUCUUUCGAAAAGACAUUAAAAUUCAAAGAAGUAUACCCUCAAAGAGGUCAGAAUGACUUCUAAUAAAGCUGAAGAUGCAUUAUGGUUGCCUGUCAGAAUGUGCUGCCGCAUGGUAAAGUUGAAGCAUCUUUCUCUCUUUGUUUUUUUUUUUGAAGCCAAACCCCAAACUUCUCGAACUCUCCCAAGCUUGUUUUCAUGCUUAUCAUGCUGAUAAUAGUAUUGAAAAAGAACCAUCCCCGCCAAAAAAAAGAAAAAAAGCAUUCAAGUGGCUUGUGAUCUAGAUUAUGAGCGGGAGUUUGAAUUGGAAAUAGAUUGGGAGAGACGCUGUGGAGACCGUGGGUUUAUGGUGAUUUUCAGGUUUUAGAUGUAUGCGCUGACUUCAUGUUUCAACGAGUACUAAAAUGAGAGAAACGCCAUGAGUGGAGGACAUUCAAAAGCUAUUCGUUUCAAGAUCGUGAUCUUAGAGUAAAAUUCAUUGAUGUAAUUAGAAAAGCAAACAAUUGAGUGUGAAAGUAGAAGAGAGAACUAACCUACAAGCUCAACGGUUUACACAACGGAAAUUUCCACGUCAGUUGAUUAGGUGUCAUGUUGGCAAUUGGCAUAGGUAAAAACUGUUGGUUUUCUUCUUCCUUUUAGUUUAAAUAAUUUUUGGGUAGGUAGGUUGAUUUUUCAUUAUUGUGUUUGACCAUUAUGGUGGCUUAAUGUCGGGGGAGUUUUCUUCUUUCAAUGUUGUAACUUUGACAAAAUCGGACUUCCAGAACAUACAGCUACUUCCAAAAUAUAUC